GGUGCUGCUGGUUUGUAGCUCAUAUGUAACAUUUGCAUGCAAGACACUGGCUCAAAUACAUCUGACUUAUGUGAUAGAACCUGGUGUAUGCAUUUUAAUGUCUUCUUGAGAGCAUGAAACAGUGAUUUUUUUUCUUCCUCAUCAUGAGCUUAUGGAUGUUUCUAACAGUACUACUAAAUAGCAUCCUUUCCAUUUUACAGGUGUAGAAACCAAGACCCUCCGGACCCAGGCUGAUGAUGACUGCCUUGAAGAGACACAACCACUGUUGAUAAACAGGUAUAAACCAUGGACAACUCCAGCAGGUGCGCACCAGGAGAGAGAACCGCAUAUGUGAAUCUCCACUGCAGCUCUCUAUUACAGCAAGAAAUGUGAAAGCCUAAACUCCAGUGUUCAGGAGACCAGAUAGGGAAUGGACUGUGGCCACUCAGGAAUAUAUUGGCACCAGCUCUCCGAAGAAUCUCUGAGGCACGCUGAUUUUCAGAGAUAAUUGAAGACGCUGGAUGUGCAGCCGGCCCCCACCACCUCUGUCUCCACGUAAGGUUGAAAGCAGGUCAGCUCUUUGUUCAUGGAUGGAAACACUCAGAACAUGAAGUAUCAUUUAAACCUCCCUCAUAUAAUAAAUUUCCAUCCUCCUUCUA